CAGAGUAGAUCUGCGAGCGUUAAGUUCUGCACGGACGGGGAGUUGCCGCGCAGCCGAAAAGUCAUUGCGAUUCGCAGGUCGCAUCCCGCUGU
rnacentral:ncRNA from 1 species